AUUGAACGCUGGCGGCAGGCCUAACACAUGCAAGUCGAUCGGAGCGGCGGACGGGUGAGUAAUGCCUAGGACUCUGCCUGGUAGUGGGGGAUAACGUCCGGAAACGGGCGCUAAUAUCGCAUACUAUCAGAUGAGCCUAGGUCGGAUUAGCUAGUUGUUGGGGUAAAGUCCUACCAAGGCGACGAUCAGUAACUGGUCUGAGAGUAUGAUCAUUCACACUGGAACUGAGACACGGUCCAGACUCCUACGGGAGGCAGCAGUGGGGAAUAUUGGACAAUGGGCGAAAGCCUGAUCCAGCCAUGCCGCGUGUGUGAAGAAGGUCUUCGGAUUGUAAAGCACUUUAAGUUGGGAGGCGUUACCAACAGAAUAAGCACCGGCUAACUUCGUGCCAGCAGCCGCGGUAAUUC
rnacentral:rRNA from 1 species